GGUUGUUGCAGACUAGAGGAGCGCAUGCGUGAGGCCCUCCCCCCAGCGCUGCCGUUGAGAAGUAUUUACUCAGUGAGUGGAAGAGGUUUGUUUGAAACAGACCGCAAUGGAGAGACCAGCGCCCAGGGAAGCGAGGGAACAGCAGGCUCCUUCCGGCAACAUAUCGAGGAAAAUACUCGAAGGACCAAGAUGAUGUAAUAUUUUGUCGGUACAAAGCCAAGUGUGAGCAGCUGCUUCUAACUAACAGCAGGCAAAUACCUGAAGGACGAAGAGAAAGUGAUAUUCCCUCGGUCCAAAGCCAAGUGUGACCAGCUGCUUCUAAGAAACAGAAGGUAUUUUACCGCUGUCAGAGCAGAGAACAUCCUUCCCACAGGCACAGAGCAGAUUGAGUCAGACAUACAUUGAAGUCAAUUUCCAGUGAGAUAUGCUCAAACAACACAGAGGAAAUACAAGUUUUUUUUUUCCACCAUUCACAAUGCACACCUGCCCAGUUUGAACAAAUUGCAGCAUUUAAGGUUUGGCAAAGAUCUGCAGCUCGGGUAGUGGAUAAUGUUGCUGACUUGCUCGCUGAGCUGGCUUGUUUUUGUUCAGACGUUUUC